rnacentral:rRNA from 1 species
GGACUACCGGGGUAUCUAAUCCUGUUUGAUCCCCACGCUUUCGCGCCUCAGCGUCAGUGUUAGUCCAGGUAGCCGCCUUCGCCACUGGUGUUCCUUCCGAUAUCUACGCAUUUCACCGCUACACCGGAAAUUCCACUACCCUCUACUACACUCUAGCUAGCCAGUAUCAGAUGCAGUUCCUAGGUUAAGCCCAGGGAUUUCACAUCUAACUUAACUAACCGCCUACGCGCCCUUUACGCCCAGUAAUUCCGAUUAACGCUUGCACCCUCUGUAUUACCGCGGCUGCUGGCAC